rnacentral:rRNA from 1 species
UCGGGAAUUUUGGGCAAUGGGCGCAAGCCUGAUCCAGCCAUGCCGCGUGAGUGAAGAAGGCCUUCGGGUUGUAAAGCUCUUUCGGCGGGGACGAAACGGUUCGUGACAACACCACGGACUAAUGACGGUACCCGCAUAAGAAGCACCGGCUAACUACGUGCCAGCAGCCGCGGUAAUACGUAGGGUGCAGGCGUUAAUCGGAAUUACUGGGCGUAAAGCGUGCGCAGGCGGUUUGUUAAGACAGGUGUGAAAUCCCCGGGCUUAACCUGGGAAUUGCGCUUGUAACUGGCAGGCUAGAGUGUGGCAGAGGGGGGUGGAAUUCCACGUGUAGCAGUGAAAUGCGUAGAUAUGUGGAGGAACACCGGUAGUCGGA